UAAGCUUAUGUUUCCUUAUAUUGUUUCAGAAAAUUCCUCUUGUUAUUGCUGGCCGGCGACCUGGUGAUGCUGAAGUUGUCUAUGCAUCAACAGAUAAGGCAGAGAGGGAACUGAACUGGAAGGCGAAAUAUAACAUUGAUGACAUGUGCCGGGAUCAGUGGAAUUGGGCUAGCAAGAACCCAUAUGGCUAGGGACCUCAAGACAAUAGCAGCUGAAAGCCGAAACCUAAUAGUUCAUAUGCUUUACAAAUUUAGUUUAGGGGUUACCAUCAGUGGAACUGGGCUAGGCAAAUCCAUAUUUAUGGAUCUCCAGACUCUAGCUACAACUAAAAGCUGAUAGUUUUAUGUACUCUAUAUCUUAGCUUAGCGUCAUCUCUCACCUCUAUGUAAAUCUUUUGUGGCCUUCCAGAUAUUAGGUUUUUGUUUGUUGACGGUACUUAUAAGCGAUAGUCAUUAUGGUGUUACGUUCUGGAUUACUUGGCCAAUUAAUGUUAUGUUUUUAUCGUCCUUUAAUUUGAUCACAGCUUUAGUAUCAAAAUUGUAACCUUUGGAUUAGAUCAUGAGAUCAGAUUGCUGCCUUCUAAUAUAUUUGCUAUACAAAAAUUUGACUUGUUCUCGAGAAA